AUUAUAAUAUUUUUUUAUUUACUUUUUAACUGUUCUAACAGUUAAUAAGCUAAUAGAUGAAGGGAUACAUCUGUUCAUUAACGUUGGAUUUAUGAACGAUUUCGUGUCAGUGUUAGACGCGGCAAAGUGGUCGUAGUUUAUAACAUAUUUCUGCGGAUUGCGAAUUUUAAGAGGUAUUUUUGUGCAAAACACGUGGCGCCUGGAGAUACGUUAUCCGUAUAAACGUUUAUAUUCGCAGUGUGCAACAACUGCUAAUCUCGGUUCGGAAAAUAUACAACGAGCGUGGAGUAUUUUUCGAACUUUCAACGUUGAAAAGAAACUCGUACCAUCAGACCAUACACGUGCGUUUCAACUUCAUACGAUAAACUAAAAUUAAAGAAAAUUCCCUAUUCAGACAGAAGAAAAUACUAAGACGAAAGUUGAACGCAGAAGAAGAAGGAAGAAAAAGCGACGUAUAAAAUAAUCUGUGAAAGAAAUAAAAAUACUUGUUCAAAAAGAAACAUAUAACGAGAUAAACUUAAUAUUCAAUAUACACAGGGAACUAGGAGACAAAUGUUUACGGCUGCUAAAUAAUCUAGGAAAGAUUAAUAUAUUCUUCGUUUAUAGAAAAUAAAAAACAUACUAGAACGGGAAUAUAAUAUAUCCAUCCAAACCAGAUGUCAACACGAGUUUCACGAUUUUCACAAGAAUAUAUAAACGAAAUGCUUUUAGAGGAGUUCCAGCAAAUUAUGCGGAAGCAGUCUGGAGAAUGUGUCGAAAGUGCGUGUCGUUUCACCGAGAAAUCCUUGCGACCAGCUAUUUCCGUCCUGGUCGCGGCGGCGUCUCCCCGUGUUCCAACACCCCCACUGAAGUCACGCAACACGUUCCAGCAUAAGGGCUCUCAUAAAUAUCAUCUGAUGCCUUUGGCCGCGGUUGUCGCCAUCGCGUGGUGGCCAGUCUCUUUCGUUUUCUAGGUGGGAGCGCAUUCGUGCGAUGGAAACGCGCCAUUAAGCUGAUUGGAUUAUUAGAAGGUGAAGAAAUGGAUUAAUCAUUGGCAUGUAUCGCAUAACAUUCACGGUUCGACCAAUGAAAAUUAUCAGAGAAUUGUUAAAAGUGGAAUUUGGCUCGAUAUUCUGGCAUUAUCGACCAACCUUUUCUUUAAGCAUUUUGACAUAUAGGUGUCCUCUUACAAUGUUGUUGGUUUAAAAGAGAGAUUAUGACAGUCACUUGACAUAUUUAAUGUUACUAAAAUAUGACUGCUCUUCUUGCAGCAGCUCGUCUCACCAGAAAUAUCUUUAGUUUCCUAACUGUAAAUAUAUAUAACCUUGUGAAAAAUUUGAAAAUAUAUGAGAUGUGUGUAACAUAUAAAAUACACAAGAUAAUGAGAGUAAUUAUAUAUGAAAAAAAAUAUCUCUGAUUUUAAGUGUAAAACAAAUCUAGAGAAGAUGAAAAUAUUUGUUAGAAAAGAAGGUUCGACAAAUAGAUACCACGAAAGCCACACACUAGUUAUAACCUAAUAUGAUCGCUUAACAAACCUAGAAAUUACCUAAACUCGCUCUAUCGACCACCAUUAGCCCCAUCUCGUUUACUCGAUCGGUAAUAUUAGAUACUUGCAUACAAUGUAAUCCCACAAAUAGUGCAAUCGUUGGUUCGUGUACCAGAUGAAGAUAAGAAAAUUACCUAUUGGCAAUUGAUCAAUGUUGAACUUUCCCUUGUUUUAUCCUAAUUUGGAACUAUUUCCAUGAAGUUUUCUAUUCCAAUUUUACGAAAUUCCAAUAUAGUACGAAUACAAUACGAUAGGUGGAAGAAUGAUGCAUGAAAUGAACAGGAUUUUGUAACUUAAUAAACAAAGUAAAUUGGGGUUUUAAUCUUAAUUUAUGUUCUAGAUUCUAGAAGAUCACGAGUUUUAUAAUUGUAUAUUGAUAGUGCUAUGUAUAUGACGAAUUAAGUGUUGAGUAUUUUACGUAUCUGGGUCAGAAGAGAAUACGUAAUAAGGAAAAACAACUCGUUUUAGAAUUUCUACAAAUGUCCUUCGAUGUGAUAAUCGAUAGUCUUAUAGAUAUUAAUACGAUGUAUGUAAACGGAUCUUGAGGUAUCUCGUAUUAUUUAUAAUUUUGGAAUAGCGAUGAAAAAUAAUAAAUUGAGAUAUUUAAUAUUAUCUUGAGACCUACUAGCGCAAGUGAAUCUAUCAGAAUCAGAAGAACUGAUCAAUUUUCAUAUUAUUUUAAAUAAUUAGAACUUGAGAAUGAUUAUAUCAAUUGUUAAUAAUACCAAUUCUUUAUAAAUGAUUAUAACUUUAUCCUGUAGUAAGAUACGCGGGAACAAAUUCCUUUCUUAAUUUCACUUUGAAAAUAGAAGUAGUCGACACAAAUUAGACACAUCAAGGAGAAAAUCUAUAUAUCGUGUAAAUAACAAACCUAUCCUACAAACUCAGAAGCAAAAUACUACAUAAAUUAGGAAUUCUUAAACACAACCUAUCUUAUGUUUUUCUAUGGAAUAUAUAGCCUGGGAUACAUAUAUAUAGACAGAUAGAUAUACAUAUAUAUAUAGAUGGUAGAAUACAAUGUAAAUAUAAAUAUUUUUUUCACCAUCUUCCAAAUAUACAGCAAGUUUAAUUUUAAGAAUCCACAACUCUUAUAUAAACAUAAGAACACACGAUUUAAAAAUCUAUUGCUCUACAGAUACUUCAUAAAAUUCUCUUUUAUAGGCGUACAUUUAUUUCAAAACAUUCCCAAUCUUUUAAGAAAAUCCUUUUUUAUCCUUCUGCUACUUACAUCAUUUUUACCAUUCCACUUACUAUUGCUCAAUUACCAAAAACGAAGCUAUACGAUAGUUGGUAAAAUACGUUCGGCAAAUUUUUGGUCGAACGACAUAUGGGGAAUUAAGUUCCGCUACGUUCGAUCACUUUAUAAAUACUCGACGGAAACAGAUGUCGACGACAAGUGGAAACGACACUGGCCGCGUACAAUGUAUCAAGCCGGUGUCAAACUGACGUUCGUGCGCUCGCUCGCGCUUUGAAACCAACGCGCGCCAUUUCGUUGUGAUAGCGAGGCAUCGAGCUGGAUCUGUCAGUAAUUGCCUCGAGUCGUGAACCGUUAUUGUCAGGCAAACGUUCCAGCGAUCGUAAAGAUCAUUCGGUAGGCGAUCUUGAAAUAUAAAUUUACCGACGUGGAGAACGCGUUCGCCGCGUGCCACAGUGCCACGCCACGGUCUUUUCUAACCCGUGUGCAAAUCCGCAGGAAGUGAACGCGGUCGCGAGACGUGGGUGUAGUGUACUGUGUAUAUGUACGUGUGGCCACCGUUUGGCAUCGUACCAACCCGCGUUUCUGGUCUCUUAAGCAAGAAAACGAGACGAUACGGAGAACAGGAUACGCUUUCGAACGAUCUUACCAAGCUUUUUAAUUGCAUUACGAAAGAGGAUUACUUAAUCUGAAGAAGAAAAAUGGCGUUCCAGUUUCUAAGGACGGACGAACAAACUGAACGAACAGAGAUAUAUGAGAAUAUGGUUGAAUGGAUUCAACGAUAGCUUCUGUUGUUUCAACCUGACGAAUCCCGUGGCUCUUGAGUGCUUUUCGGCACGAGGAAUUCGUAAAUAUUUCGCUCAUAUGCUAAAAUAAAGCGCCUCGUAGAGUGUGUCAGGUCUUGUAAGCCUCGUUCGCUUAUUCAUCGGUUGUUAUAUUGAAAAUCGAGAUCUCCGAUAAAAUAACUUUCACCAGUUGAUAUAUUUAUCAUUUUCUUAUACAUGCUAAAACUGCUGGGGUAAACAAAGUGACUAAUUCAUAAUAUUUCAUCGAAAGUUUAUAAAUUGGCAGUGGUGAAUUUUUGGAAAUUUGAAUAAUAUUUUUAGUAAAAUAUAUCAAUAAGAACUUAUUUUUCAUUUUACAAAAUUUACGUGAUAUGCAAAUGAUUCUAAUAUUAAAAUACACAAAAUAUCUUAACAGAUUCGUUACUAUAUGUUCGUGACGUAGUUUAUUGACAUACAUACGGUGAAAAUGUUUACACUUGUAUCACAUAAUAAUGUUAUACUUUAAUUUCACGGUUCUCUAACGUAUGUUUCAUGUUUUAAUCAAGCCUCAUAGUCAAACAAGAUAAUCAUAUCCAUCACUCAUACGUAAGAAACAGCUAUGUAUACGAUUCAAUAAAAUUCUUACAAAAGUU